GAUGAAGAACGCAGCGAAAUGCGAUAAGUAGUGUGAAUUGCAGAAUUCAGUGAAUCAUCGAAUCUUUGAACGCACAUUGCGCCCCUUGGUAUCCCGAGGGGCAUGCCUGUUCGAGCGUCAUUUCACCACUCAAGCCUGGCUUGGUGUUGGGCGACGUCCCCUUUAGGGACGCGCCUCGAAACGCUCGGCGGCGCGGCACCGGCUUUAAGCGUAGCAGAAUCUUUCGCUUUGGAAGUCGGGGCCCCGUCUGCCGGAAGACCUGCUCGCAAGGUUGACCUCGGAUCAGGCAGGGAUACCCGCUGAACUUAAGCAUAUCAAUAAGCGGAGGA
rnacentral:misc_RNA from 1 species